rnacentral:rRNA from 1 species
GAUGAACGCUAGCUACAGGCUUAACACAUGCAAGUCGAGGGGAAACGAUAGAGAAAGCUUGCUUUUUCUAGGCGUCGACCGGCGCACGAGUGAGUAACGCGUAUCCAACCUGCCCAUCACUUGGGGAUAACCUUGCGAAAGUAAGACUAAUACCCAAUGAUAUCUCUAGAAGACAUCUGAAGGAGAUUAAAGAUUUAUCGGUGAUGGAUGGGGAUGCGUCUGAUUAGCUUGUUGGCGGGGUAACGGCCCACCAAGGCGACGAUCAGUAGGGGUUCUGAGAGGAAGGCCCCCCACAUUGGAACUGAGACACGGUCCAAACUCCUACGGGAGGCAGCAGUGAGGAAUAUUGGUCAAUGGGCGAGAGCCUGAACCAGCCAAGUAGCGUGCAGGAUGACGGCCCUAUGGGUUGUAAACUGCUCUUAUAAGGGAAUAAAGUGAGUCUCGUGAGGCUUUUUGCAUGUACCUUAUGAAUAAGGACCGGCUAAUUCCGUGCCAGCAGCCGCAGUAA